rnacentral:snRNA from 1 species
GAAAGCCCUACCACUGUGCUAUCAUAUACUAAAAUUGGAACAAUACAGAGAGGAUUAGUAUGGCCCCUGAGCAAGGAUGACACGCAAAUAAUAAUAUAAAUAAAUUAU